GAUGAACGCUGGCGGCGUGCUUAACACAUGCAAGUCGAGCGAACAGACCAUGAGCUUGUUCCUCUGACGUUAGGGGCGCACGGGUGAGAAACAUGAGGAUAACCCACCUAUAAGACUGAGAUAAUUACGGGAAACCGGAGCUAAUACCGGAUAAGAUAUUGAUCCGUAGGGGUCAAUAGAAAAAGACGGCUGUUCUGUCACUAAUAGAUGGAUACGCGCCGCAUUAGCUGGUUGGUAAGGUAACGGCCUACCAAGGCAACGAUGCGUAGCCGACCGGUGAGGCGGGUCGGCCACCCUGGAACGGGGCCGCGAUCCAGGCUCCUACGGGACGCCGCAGUAGGGUAUGUUCGGCAGUGGGCGGGAGCUUGGCGGAACAACGCCACGUGAGUUGCAGAGAUCUUGCGAUCGUGAUGCUCUGUUAUUGGUGAAAAACAACUGUGUAAGUAACUAUACACGUCUUGACGGUACCUGAUCAAAAAGCACCGGCUAACUACGUG
rnacentral:rRNA from 1 species